AAUGCAAUGUUAUUAAUAUUCCAUGAGAACUAAUAUCUAUUGCCCAGAAUAUUAACGUCUGUAACAACAAAAGAAUGUCCUCUCUGUAGGCAGAUGUCCUUGGAUGCUUACAUAAGGAAGGUUGCUAGAAAACCGUGAUGUUUGAUGGUUUUCAACCAUCACAGAUGGACACCAAAUGUAGCAAAGGUCUUUGCUUCUGGGGAGGUAACAAUAGGAAGACUUGCAACCUUCUCUGGCUUAAAAGUAAUUGUAACUGGGAAAUCCUGCUCAAAGUCCCCAUGCCGAAGUCCACUGUCUCCUGACUGUCCAUUAGAAAAGUGUGACCUCUGUGACUUUGCUUUGGUGCCAUCCUGUAUGUGAUCACUACUCCUCUGUCCAUAUAGGGGACUAAGACAUAUUUUUGCACAUAUAUACACUUUUCAUAAUCUUCUGAUUCUGUUGUCGUUCUGAUAGUUAAACUUUAACAUAGCAACACAUUUUUGUAUUAUUUUAGAGUUCCAAGGGAUCUCAUUGUAGACAUUAUUGACAAGUCCAUAUUCCUUAUUUUUUGUUUAAAGUCACCGUGUCUUUAUUUGAGAAAUAUCAAAGUGAUUCCUUUCAUUUGCCUUCAGGGUCACUUUUGUUUCUCUAAAACUUGAGUCUUGAUUUCUCUUUAGCAGAACCUUGCUAAAAUUCUUUUUUUUUUUUUUUGCUAUUUUUUUUAUUUCACUUGAACUAUGGAUCUACUAAUGACAAUUAAGUUAAAUGCCAGCAUACGGACACUAGAAGUGACUAUUUCUUAGUAUGUUUCAUAGUUAAUUACAAAUUUAGAAGUGUUUUAAAGAUAUGUGAAUGGAUAGUGAUGGUUGGAUUACUGGGACGCAUGUUUUAGAGCCAUCAACAGAUUAAAUAUACAUGGUAUUAACCUCUGUAGAAGUCAUUAAGUGACUAUCUUUAAUACUCACACCAUCAAGGAUGCUUAGUGAAGAACAGUGUGCAGACUGGCAGGUUGAAGAGUGAAUCAACUCUACCUCCAGCUAAUUACACAGUGCACUACAUUCUUCUGAAGGGUAUCAUUUCCCCUCCUCCACAAGUCCCACUUGCUUGUUUCCUUGCAAAGCUGCCAAGAAACUGUGAACAAAUUUCAUGUCUGAGUAACUGAUUGCUCGCUCAGUGACCUUGAAAAAUUACUUGCAUCAUUAAAAAUUCAUAGAAAAUAAAGUUUGGGAGAAUACCGUUCUGACAUGUUCUGUCAUAAAGAACCUCCUAUUACGUUACUGUACAAUCUUGUGCACUUU
rnacentral:lncRNA from 1 species